UGUUCGCAGUUAUAUAUUAUCUGCAGCAUAAAUUGACACCGUGCGCCUAUGGUUAUUUCUAUUGUCUUUAGCGUUUAUCCUAUUAUCUAUGGCGUUUAUCUAUAUCACGAAUGAAAUUGACAGCAUGUGGCCAUCUUAGAAUUUAGCUUUUGUUCAACAAACGAGAGAAUUAAAGCUGACCAUGCUGAACCAAUCAAUGUCUGUAAUCGUAUCAUCAUUCCUGGAUUAAAUUCUUCAUUUGCUGUUUUCGUCUUUAACUUACAACAUUAUGCAAUGAAUAUUCAACAGAUGAGUGAGAGCAAGAGGAGAUUUAUUUAAAUUCCAUUGAAACAAGUUUUCUGCAAACUUGGGCACGUUACAGUGUACUGUUUCUUAAGGUCAACGGUGGAGAAGACAAAGAAGACCCCGUAGUUAAAAUACCUGUGUAUCUUGUAUGUCCUUUUGUUAUUAGAAUUAAUAAUUUUUUAUUUUGCAUGUUUUUUGUAGUUUAUUUGAAUUAAUUUUUGAUUG
rnacentral:lncRNA from 1 species